rnacentral:lncRNA from 1 species
CCCACCUCCAGCCACUCGGUGGCCCCCAGGUGCCCGAAUUCGCCCCCGUCCCAGCUGACGAAGAGCAGAGAGCGGCGGAGCUGGAAGCCUGGGGGGGGAACUGGGGUUGGACUGGGAGGGAACUGGGGUGGCACUGGGAGGGAACUGGGGUUGGACUGGGGUUGGACUGGGAGGGAACUGGGGUGGCACUGGGAGGGAACUGGGGUGGCACUGGGAGGGAACUGGGGUUGGACUGGGAGGAAACUGGGGUUGGACUGGGAGGGAACUGGGAUGGCACUGGGAACAAACUGGGGUUGGACUGGGAACAAACUGGGGCUGGACUGGGAGCAAACUGGGGUUGGACUGGGAGCAAACUGGGAUAGGACUGGGAACAAACUGGGGUUACACUGGGAACAAACUGGGAUUAUACUGGGAGCAAACUGGUUGCACUGGGAGCAAACUGGGGUUGGGCAGGGAACAAGCUGGGAUUGUACUGGGAGCAAACUGUUUGCACUGGGAGCAAACUGGGGUUGGACUGGGAACAAACUGGGAUUGUACUGGAGUUUUACUGGGGUUGCACUGGGAGCAAACUGGGAUUGUACUGGGAGCACACUGGGAUUGUACUGGGAGCAAACUGGGGUUGGACUGGGAACAAACUGGGAUUGUACUGGGGUUUUACUGGGGUUGCACUGGGAGCAAACUGGGAUUAUACUGGGACCAAACUGGGAUUGCAGGGGGACACUGGGGGGAGGGGGGGACAGCAAUGACACCACCCCUGGCCCCCACCCUGGCCACGCCCCCUCCGGGUGACCACGCCCACUUGGCCACGCCCCCUCCCAUUGACCACGCCCCCUCCCGGUGGCCACGCCCCCUCCAUUGGCCACGCCCCCCCGGCCCCGCCCUCACCGUCCCUCCCCAUGGCGGCGAAGGCCCGAGCCAGCUCCAGCAGCAGGGCCGUGCCCACCCCCGAGGCCGCCGCCCCCGGCCCCAGCGAAUCGCGGCGCGCCCCCACGAUGACGUAACGGUCUGGGGGCGGGGCCACGAGGAAAUUACCAUAAAAGGGGGUGGGGCUCGGGUGAGGCCACGCCCCCGAGCCGCGCCCCCAGGGGAUGGAGCCACGCCCCCAAACCGAGCUCCAUCCCCGUUGGCCACGCCCAUAAUGACCACGCCCACAAAUGACCACGCCCCCUUUAACCACGCCCCUUGAACCCAUUUGACCCCACCCCCUUUAACCCCACCCCUUUUAGCCACGCCCAUUGAUCCCACUUGGCCCCGCCCCCAUCAGCCACGCCCACAAUAACCACGCCCCCUUUGACCACGCCCCCAUUUAGCCCCACCCCCUUUGGCCACACCCCUUGAACCCAUUUGUCCCCGCCCCCAGUUGGCCCCGCCCCCAUUUGGCCACGCCCCCUCCGAUGACCCCACCCACUUGACCACGCCCCCUACCAUGACCGCGCCCACUCUGACCACGCCCCCUCCCCGUGGCCACGCCCCCUCCCUGGCUCCACC